rnacentral:rRNA from 1 species
GGAUGAACGCUAGCUACAGGCUUAACACAUGCAAGUCGAGGGGCAGCGGGGGGAAAGCUUGCUUUCCCUGCCGGCGACCGGCGGAUGGGUGAGUAACGCGUAUCCAACCUGCCGCAUUCUCAGGGAUAGCCCUUGGAAACGAGGAUUAACACCUGAUGGCAUGGACGCCCCGCAUGAGGUGUCCAUUAAAUUGCGAGGAAUGCGAUGGGGAUGCGUCUGAUUAGCUUGUUGGCGGGGUAACGGCCCACCAAGGCGACGAUCAGUAGGGGUUCUGAGAGGAAGGUCCCCCACAUUGGAACUGAGACACGGUCCAAACUCCUACGGGAGGCAGCAGUGAGGAAUAUUGGUCAAUGGGCGGAAGCCUGAACCAGCCAAGUAGCGUGAGGGAAGACGGCCCUACGGGUUGUAAACCUCUUUUAUGCGGGGAUAAAAAAGGCCACGUGUGGCCUCUUGCAGGUACCGCAUGAAUAAGGACCGGCUAAUUCCGUGCCAGCAGCCGCGGUAAUACGGAAGGUCCGGGCGUUAUCCGGAUUUAUUGGGUUUAAAGGGAGCGCAGGCGGAGAGCCAAGUCAGCCGUCAAAUGUCCGGGCUCAACCCGGGCUCGCGGUUGAAACUGGCUCCCUUGGGUGUGCAAGAGGUAGGCGGAACUCGUGGUGUACCGGUGAAAUGCAUAGAUAUCACGAAGAACUCCGAUUGCGAAGGCAGCCUACUGGGGCAUUACCGACGCUCAUGCUCGAAGGUGCGGGUAUCAAACAGGAUUAGAUACCCUGGUAGUCCGCACAGUAAACGAUGGAUGCUCGCGGUGCGCCCGCCUCAGGGUACGCCGCCAAGGGAAACCGUUAAGCAUCCCACCUGGGGAGUACGCCGGCAACGGUGAGACUCAAAGGAAUUGACGGGGGCCCGCACAAGCGGAGGAACAUGUGGUUUAAUUCGAUGAUACGCGAGGAACCUUACCCGGGCUUGAAAUGUGAGCGACAGGCGGCAGAGACGCCGCCCUCCUUCGGGCGCUCAUGUAGGUGCUGCAUGGUUGUCGUCAGCUCGUGCCGUGAGGUGUCGGCUCAAGUGCCAUAACGAGCGCAACCCCUUCUGCCGGUUACCAUCGCUUCGGGCGGGGACUCCGGCAGUACUGCCGCCGCAAGGCGUGAGGAAGGUGGGGAUGACGUCAAAUCAGCACGGCCCUUACGUCCGGGGCCACACACGUGUUACAAUGGGGGGCACAGAAGGCAGGACCUCGGCGACAAGGUUCGAAUCGAGAAAUCCCCUCCCAGUUCGGACUGGAGUCUGCAACCCGACUCCACGAAGCUGGAUUCGCUAGUAAUCGCGCAUCAGCCAUGGCGCGGUGAUACGUUCCCGGGCAUUGUACACACCGCCCGUACNGGGCGUUCGCGCCGAACUUCGAAAAAUGCGUG